rnacentral:rRNA from 1 species
UACGUAGGGUGCAAGCGUUAAUCGGAAUUACUGGGCGUAAAGCGUGCGCAGGCGGUUUUGUAAGUCUGACGUGAAAGCCCCGGGCUCAACCUGGGAAUGGCGGUUGAAACUGGCGAACUUGAAUCUGGCAGAGGGGGGUGGAAUUCCACGUGUAGCAGUGAAAUGCGUAGAGAUGUGGAGGAACACCGAUGGCGAAGGCAGCCCCCUGGGCUAAGAUUGACGCUCAGGCACGAAAGCGUGGGGAGCAAACAGG